rnacentral:rRNA from 1 species
GGAUGAGUUGCGAACGGGUGAGUAACGCGUAGGUAACCUGCCUUGUAGCGGGGGAUAACUAUUGGAAACGAUAGCUAAUACCGCAUAACAAUGGAUGACACAUGUCAUUUAUUUGAAAGGGGCAAUUGUUCCACUACAAGAUGGACCUGCGUUGUAUUAGCUAGUAGGUGAGGUAAUGGCUCACCUAGGCGACGAUACAUAGCCGACCUGAGAGGGUGAUCGGCCACACUGGGACUGAGACACGGCCCAGACUCCUACGGGAGGCAGCAGUAGGGAAUCUUCGGCAAUGGGGGCAACCCUGACCGAGCAACGCCGCGUGAGUGAAGAAGGUUUUCGGAUCGUAAAGCUCUGUUGUAAGUCAAGAACGGGUGUGAGAGUGGAAAGUUCACACUGUGACGGUAGCUUACCAGAAAGGGACGGCUAACUACGUGCCAGCAGCCGCGGUAAUACGUAGGUCCCGAGCGUUGUCCGGAUUUAUUGGGCGUAAAGCGAGCGCAGGCGGUUUGAUAAGUCUGAAGUUAAAGGCUGUGGCUCAACCAUAGUUCGCUUUGGAAACUGUCAAACUUGAGUGCAGAAGGGGAGAGUGGAAUUCCAUGUGUAGCGGUGAAAUGCGUAGAUAUAUGGAGGAACACCGGUGGCGAAAGCGGCUCUCUGGUCUGUAACUGACGCUGAGGCUCGAAAGCGUGGGGAGCGAACAGGAUUAGAUACCCUGGUAGUCCACGCCGUAAACGAUGAGUGCUAGGUGUUGGAUCCUUUCCGGGAUUCAGUGCCGCAGCUAACGCAUUAAGCACUCCGCCUGGGGAGUACGACCGCAAGGUUGAAACUCAAAGGAAUUGACGGGGGCCCGCACAAGCGGUGGAGCAUGUGGUUUAAUUCGAAGCAACGCGAAGAACCUUACCAGGUCUUGACAUCCCGAUGCUAUUUCUAGAGAUAGAAAGUUACUUCGGUACAUCGGUGACAGGUGGUGCAUGGUUGUCGUCAGCUCGUGUCGUGAGAUGUUGGGUUAAGUCCCGCAACGAGCGCAACCCCUAUUGUUAGUUGCCAUCAUUCAGUUGGGCACUCUAGCGAGACUGCCGGUAAUAAACCGGAGGAAGGUGGGGAUGACGUCAAAUCAUCAUGCCCCUUAUGACCUGGGCUACACACGUGCUACAAUGGUUGGUACAACGAGUUGCGAGUCGGUGACGGCGAGCUAAUCUCUUAAAGCCAAUCUCAGUUCGGAUUGUAGGCUGCAACUCGCCUACAUGAAGUCGGAAUCGCUAGUAAUCGCGGAUCAGCACGCCGCGGUGAAUACGUUCCCGGGCCUUGUACACACCGCCCGUCACACCACGAGAGUUUGU